UACGAAGGGGGCUAGCGUUGUUCGGAAUUACUGGGCGUAAAGCGAACGUAGGCGGUGUUCUUUGUCAGAGGUGAAAGCCUGGGGCUCAACCCCAGAAUUGCCUUUGAAACGGGGACGCUUGAGUCCGAGAGAGGGUGGCGGAAUUCCUAGUGUAGAGGUGAAAUUCGUAGAUAUUAGGAAGAACACCAGUGGCGAAGGCGGCCACCUGGCUCGGUACUGACGCUCAGGUUCGAAAGCGUGGGGAGCAAACAGG
rnacentral:rRNA from 1 species